rnacentral:rRNA from 1 species
CGGGAAUUUUGGGCAAUGGGCGAAAACCUGACCCAGCAACGCCGCGUGAGGGAUGAAGUAUUUCGGUAUGUAAACCUCGAAAGAAUGGGAAGAAUAAAUGACGGUACCAUUUAUAAGCUCCGGCUAACUACGCGCCAGCAGCCGCGGUAAUACGGAGGGGGCUAGCGUUGUUCGGAAUUACUGGGCGUAAAGCGUACGUAGGCGGAUGCGCAAGUUGGGGGUGAAAUCCCGGGGCUUAACCUCGGAAUUGCCCUCAAAACUGCACGUCUUGAGACCGAGAGAGGUAAGGGGAAUUCCUAGUGUAGAGGUGAAAUUCGUAGAUAUUAGGAAGAACACCAGUGGCGAAGGCGCCUUACUGGCUCGGUACUGACGCUGAGGUACGAAAGCGUGGGGAGCAAACA